rnacentral:rRNA from 1 species
UAUGUGAUCGUCUUCUCGCAUAUCAAUAAGCGGAGGAAAAGAAACUAACAAGGAUUCCCCUAGUAACGGCGAGUGAAGCGGGAAGAGCUCAAAUUUGAAAUCUUAAAGGGUUUCCCUUUACGAAUUGUAGUUUAAAGAAGUGUUUUCUGUUGAGGUUUUGGUAAAAGUUCUUUGGAAUAGGACAUCAUAGAGGGUGAGAAUCCCGUAUUUGACCUUUACUUUCAACUUUGUGAUACACUUUCAAAGAGUCGGAUUGUUUGGGAAUGCAGUCCAAAAUGGGUGGUAAAUUUCAUCUAAAGCUAAAUAUUGGCGAGAGACCGAUAAGCGAACAAGUACCGUGAGGGAAAGAUGAAAAGAACUUUGAAAAGAGAGUUAAACAGUACGUGAAAUUGUCAAAAGGGAAGCGUUUGACACCAGUGUUGUUUUUCUGAAAAUCAAUUAAAGAACUGUUUAUGCUAAGCUGUUUAGACUUUAUCAGCUAUCUGUUUAGUUUUGAGCUUUUCUUUAAUGCACUUUUCAGUUAACAAGUCAACAUCAAUUUCUUUUGCUGUAAAAAAGCUUGAGGAAGGUGGCUUGAGAUUCGUCUUAAGUGUUUAUAGCCUCUUGCCUAUGCAGUCGGAGAGAUUGAGGUCUGCAGCGUAGAUCCUUCGGGGCUAAAUGCAUUUGUGCUAAGUUAUAGCAUUUUAUAGACAACUUGUUGACUAUGAUUUGUCUUGUAGCUUACUCGCUUAUGUUAUUUUACCUACGCUUAGGAUGUUGAUCUGUAGUGCGUGCGC